CCUACGGGAGGCAGCAGUGAGGAAUCUUGGUCAAUGGACGAGAGUCUGAACCAGCCAAGUAGCGUGAAGGAUGACUGCCCUAUGGGUUGUAAACUUCUUUUAUAUGGGAAUAAAAUGUUCCACGUGUGGGAUUUUGUAUGUACCAUAUGAAUAAGGAUCGGCUAACUCCGUGCCAGCAGCCGCGGUAAUACGGAGGAUCCGAGCGUUAUCCGGAUUUAUUGGGUUUAAAGGGAGCGUAGGUGGAUUGUUAAGUCAGUUGUGAAAGUUUGCGGCUCAACCGUAAAAUUGCAGUUGAAACUGGCAGUCUUGAGUACAGUAGAGGUGGGCGGAAUUCGUGAUGUAGCGGUGAAAUGCUUAGAUAUCACGAAGAACUCCGAUUGCGAAGGCAGUUCACUGGACUGCAACUGACACUGAGGCUCGAAAGUGUGGGUAUCAAACAGGAUUAGAUACCCUUGUAGUC
rnacentral:rRNA from 1 species